rnacentral:rRNA from 1 species
ACGCUCGACACCUACGGGGGGCAGCAGUGGGGAAUAUUGCACAAUGGGGGAAACCCUGAUGCAGCGACGCCGCGUGAGUGAAGAAGUAUUUCGGUAUGUAAAGCUCUAUCAGCAGGGAAGAAAUGACGGUACCUGAGUAAGAAGCCCCGGCUAACUACGUGCCAGCAGCCGCGGUAAUCUGAGCGGGCUGGCAAGGC